CGCGUGAGGGAGGGGUUUUUGGAUUGUAAACCUCUUUUUUAAAGGAAGAAGAAAGUGACGGUACUUAAAGAAUCAGCAUCGGCUAACUCCGUGCCAGCAGCCGCGGUAAAACGGAGGAUGCAAGCGUUAUCCGGAAUCAUUGGGCGUAAAGCGUCCGCAGGUGGCUGUUCAAGUCUGCUGUUAAAGAAAGAAGCUCAACUUCUGAACAGCAGUGGAAACUGGACGGCUAGAGUACGGUAGGGGUUGAGGGAAUUCCCAGUGUAGCGGUGAAAUGCGUAGAUAUUGGGAAGAACACCAGUGGCGAAGGCGCUCAACUGGAUCGUAACUGACACUCAGGGACGAAAGCUAGGGUAGCGAAAGGGAUUAGAUACCCCUUAG
rnacentral:rRNA from 1 species